rnacentral:ncRNA from 18 species
AAAUAUCUUCAGGGCACCGUGUAAUUCGGGACCGGCGGUAAAUAGGGCUUUGACCUUAUGACUCCGCGAUUCGCUACGGCGAUUGAAGCAGUGAGAAUCUGCUAGCGACAGUAAAGUCUGGAUGGAAGAAGAUGAAC